rnacentral:tRNA from 1 species
GUGAGCGUAGCUCAGUUGGUAGAGCGCCAGAUUGUGGCUCUGGUGGUCGUGGGUUCGAUCCCCAUCGCUCACCCUA